UUAGAUUUACCUACUUCUUUCCAUUUAAUUUUUCGUUUCGGGUAAUUUUAAGUUCAUAUCAUAUUGGAAUUUGGUGGUUGACCAUUUUCUAUGGAAAAAUUAUACUUGAAAAAAACCAUUUUUCUUAUUUAUAUGAGAGAUUGAGAUUUCAGAUGUGUCAUUGGUUUGGAUCAAAAUAUUCAAUGAAGCAAAAUGAGUUCAUAAAACAUUUGAAGAAAUUACUACUUUUUUCUCUAACUGCUUGCAUACACGAUCACUACAGGAAAUUACACUUUUUUCUCUAACAUAAUGAUGUGAGCAUCCUUUUGGCAUCUUUUUGCUUCAUAUUUUUCCCUGCAUUGAUUUUCAAUUAUUAGCUGGUCUUGUUAAGUUUUAUAAACAUGCAACAACUGAGAUGGAUGCAUGCUAAUUUUAUGCAAUAAUUUUUGCUUUCUUUUAUUUGUCUAUCUAAAUUUUCAUAACAUCAACAAUGUACGAUGCCAAAUGCGAUUUAGGAAAUUGGCCCACAAUACCUAAAAUAUUGUUCUUUUGCCGUACACGGUGGUAUUUGUUAUACAAGUACUUUAACUCGCUGCAAAGCGAAUGCUUUUCUACAUGUUUCCCUAUCCCAUGUAAAUAUGGUCUUAAGCACCAACAGGAAGUGGAAAGACAAGACAUUUUGAGCUUUGCAUUUUGAGGCUGCUCUCAAGGUUCAUCUUUGCAGAGGGAAGAUUUAUUCACUUAAAGGGAACACUCAAAACAAAGUUUGAUGCAGUGACUUGGUAUCACAUUAAAGAUGGUGGCUUGAGCUUUUUCAAUGAUAUAGCACUUGUGAUGUACAAUAAUUACUUCUUCACAUCAAUUUGGAUUUAUUUGAAAGAAUCAAAUAUUUCAUG